GAUGAAGAACGCAGCGAAAUGCGAUAAGUAAUGCGAAUUGCAGAAUUCAGUGAGUCAUCGAAUCUUUGAACGCAUAUUGCGCCCUGUGGUAUUCCGCAGGGCAUGCCUGUUCGAGCGUCAUUUCAACCCUCAAGCUCUGCUUGGUGUUGGGCCCUGCCCGCUGCGGCCGGCCCUAAAGACAGUGGCGGUGCCGCCUGGCCCUGAGCGUAGUACAUCUCUCGCUCCAGUGCCCGGUGGUAGCCUGCCAGAACCCCAACUCUCGUGGUUGACCUCGGAUCAGGUAGGGAUACCCGCUGAACUUAAGCAUAUCAAUAAGCGGAGGA
rnacentral:misc_RNA from 1 species